AAGUGCUUCUCUCCCCCGUUUCAUUCGCGCGUAGACUCACGGAGAAACUAGAAGGAGUGAGAGAGUAGGCGGACUUCGUUGUGUUUUUGCACAUUUUGCCUCGGACUACUCUUCUUUGAAGGGUGGUGUGACUCCCCUUCUGUCCGGUAGUAACGGCUGCAGUGUACUUGCCGUCAGAGCACAUGAUGGUUGCAACUACGGUGUGGUCUCCCUAGUGGACCAGCACGACAACUGUCUGGAUUGAGCCGAGCAGGGGACAUCUCUAGGGUCUUCAAAUGGGCACCUUCCAUCCUCAGUGUUUUGUCGACUAGCCCACGACACCUCAAGAGGGCUCGACAGUGACUCUGGCGUCCCAGAGUCACCCCCUCCAUCCCCCACUCAACUCAGCCCAGCUUACUGACCUCUACAUCCCUCCUCCUGCUGAGACCCAACCACAAUCUCUCUGCAACCCAACCAUACGCUGCAAUCUCAGGUGGAAAAAUAAGCUGUUGAUCAGCCAGCAUCUUCCAGUCCCUAGCAGCCUCCUGUUGUCCUGGGAGAGAAUUGGUGUUAACACCUUUUCUUGGUGGUUGCUCACCUUGGCAGAGUAAUAUUGUCUUCUGCAUGUAAUGUUUUGCUAGAACAAGUGGCAACUUAUUGGUCAUAUUACGCUUGCCUUCCAAUGCUAAAGCCAAACAUCGCAGUACUUGGUCAUGGCGCCAAGUAAAUUGACCUUGGCUAAGAGUCACGUUACAUCCUGUCAAUGUGCCUUAAUGUGGCAGUUGAUGAACACAAAGGACAAGAUGGAUCCUCUCCUACCCGGAGGUUUAGGUUCUGUGGUGAUGGGAGAACAUCUUAUGUUGACCUUAUAAGGAAACUGAUCCUUCUCUCUACCAUUGACCGAAGGUCUUGCCAGCCCAUCUUGUGUUCUUCCACACUCUGCCAUCUCAUCCACUUUCCCUGUUUGGCCUGGGAAAUGGCCUUUAUACACCUUAUCCUCUCCUCCAUCUUUCGCACUUCGCUGACUACCAGCUUCCUCCUUUGAGCUGGGCCUGCCUUGUGCCAUUUAGGUGGAGCUAAACUGAGCCCAAAACCCCCUAUUUCAUGCUGUACCUGUCCCACGAUAUCCCCAAUUUGAAGGGCAGCCUUUGCCUCUACUACAGAUUUCCUUGCUGACCACUUUCUACCAGUUUUGAACACAGUGGCUGCCUCCCUUACACAUUUGUCACGUGACUCUACUAAGGUCAUUUCCAGACUGACCUUGGCACACUUAAACUCCUUGGUUAAAGCAGAGACUGGCAGCUGCAAUAUUCCUUUACUAUAAAGUCUUACUCUGCUGAGGCAGCGUGGAACUCCCAACCAUUUCCCUGAUGUAUGAACUUAUUAACGCUUCCAGCUUAUCCACUGUUGUCAAAGAAACCUCGUACACUGUCAGUGGCCACAGCAACCUCGGCAGUAGACCAAACUGAAAGCACCAGAGCUUUAGUUUGCCUGGCAGAGCACAGCUGUUUAUGCUCUUCAACCCUUCCACUGCUUGUCGUCUAACUUCUCCCACUCGAACUGUGUCCUUUAGAUCCCAUCGUACCAUCUCCCAAGACUCUUCACUGGCUUCUCAGAAACUGUUGGUAUUGCCUCACCAUUAAUGAAGAAUGUUUUAUCUACUACCUAUCCUUUAAUUAUCGAGAUGCUCCUUGAUUUAGAUGGCUUAAAUUGCAUUUGUGCCCAUUCAAUAUUAUCUAAUAACUUCCCCAAUAACCGAUUAGUGCAGGCCACUGUUGUAGUCGUGGUUGUCAUGCAUCAAUGUAUGCUCUGAUUGGUGGUAGUCUCAUCCCAGAAGCCAAGCGCUCUCCUUCUACUACCCAUCUUGAUGCCCUAAUGAUUAUCAUCUAAUGAUAUUUUAUUUUCAUCAUCAGUGAAGCUCCUCCCACUGUAAUUGUUCAAUAAAUGCUGUAAAUUCCCACCAGCAUCAAGUGAAGACGAGCAUCAAAGCAUCAGGAAGAGCUGAAAUCUGCAAAGACUGAGUUUAAUAAAGAGGACAGUAAGAACAUGAGUGAUCCAGAACCCUGCAGAAUGAAACGCACUGAAGAUCCUGAAGAACAAAGAGACCUGAUGGAAGAGAGCGAGGAGAGAGAACUGAGUGAAGUCAAGGAGGAGAGAGAAGAAAUGAUUGAAGUGAAGGUGGAGAGAGAAGAAC